AUUAGCGGCGGACGGGUGAGUAACACGUGAGUAACCUGCCUUAGACAUUGGGAUAGCCUCGGGAAACCGGGAUUAAUACCAAAUGAAAUCACAUAUGCACAUGCAUAAAUGAUCAAAGCUCCGGCGGUCUAAGAUGGACUCGCGUCCCAUUAGCUAGUUGGUGAGGUAACGGCCCACCAAGGCGACGAUGGGUAGCCGGCCUGAGAGGGUGAACGGCCACAUUGGAACUGAGAAACGGUCCAAACUCCUACGGGAGGCAGCAGUGGGGAAUAUUGCACAAUGGAGGGAACUCUGAUGCAGCGACGCCGCGUGAACGAUGAAGGCUUUCGAGUCGUAAAGUUCUUUUAUAUGGGAAGAUAAUGACGGUACCAUAAGAAAAAGCCCCGGCUAACUACGUGCCAGCAGCCGCGGUAAUACGUAGGGGGCUAGCGUUGUCCGGAAUCACUGGGCGUAAAGGGUUCGCAGGCGGAAAUGCAAGUCAGAUGUAAAAGGCAGUAGCUUAACUACUGUAAGCAUUUGAAACUGCAUAUCUUGAGAAGAGUAGAGGUAAGUGGAAUUUUUAGUGUAGCGGUGAAAUGCGUAGAUAUUAAAAAGAAUACCGGUGGCGAAGGCGACUUACUGGGCUCAUUCUGACGCUGAGGAACGAAAGCGUGGGUAGCAAACAGGAUUAGAUACCCUGGUAGUCCACGCUGUAAACGAUGAGUGCUAGGUAUCGGAAUAAUUCGGUGCCGCAGUUACACAUUAACACUCCGCCUGGGGA
rnacentral:rRNA from 1 species